ensembl:snRNA U6 U6 spliceosomal RNA
AUGCUCACUUCAGCAGCACUUGUACUAAAAUUGGAAUGAGACAAAGAUUAGCAUGGAUUCUGUGCAAGAAUGACUCACAGAUUCAGGAUAUGUUCCAUGUUUUU